rnacentral:rRNA from 1 species
CCUACGGGAGGCAGCAGUGAGGAAUAUUGGUCAAUGGACGAGAGUCUGAACCAGCCAAGUAGCGUGAAGGAUGACUGCCCUAUGGGUUGUAAACUUCUUUUAUAUGGGAAUAAAACGUUCCACGUGUGGGAUUUUGUAUGUACCAUAUGAAUAAGGAUCGGCUAACUCCGUGCCAGCAGCCGCGGUAAUACGGAGGAUCCGAGCGUUAUCCGGGUUUAUUGGGUUUAAAGGGAGCGUAGGUGGAGUGUUAAGUCAGUUGUGAAAGUUUGCGGCUCAACCGUAAAAUUGCAGUUGAAACUGGCAGUCUUGAGUACAGUAGAGGUGGGCGGAAUUCGUGGUGUAGCGGUGAAAUGCUUAGAUAUCACGAAGAACUCCGAUUGCGAAGGCAGUUCACUGGACUGCAACUGACACUGAGGCUCGAAAGUGUGGGUAUCAAACAGGAUUAGAUACCCCUGUAGUC